UCAGACCACUUCUCUCUCAGAUUCUGUUGU
rnacentral:piRNA from 1 species